rnacentral:rRNA from 1 species
AUUGAACGCUGGCGGCAGGCCUAACACAUGCAAGUCGAACGAGUGGCGGACGGGUGAGUAAUGUCUGGGAAACUGCCCGAUGGAGGGGGAUAACUACUGGAAACGGUAGCUAAUACCGCAUACCAUCGGAUGUGCCCAGAUGGGAUUAGCUAGUGGGUGGGGUAACGGCUCACCUAGGCGACGAUCCCUAGCUGGUCUGAUAGGAUGACCAGCCCCACUGGAACUGAGACACAGUCCAGACUCCUCCUCGAAGCAUCAAUUAAAAAUAUUGCACAAUUGGCGCAAGCCUGAGACAGCCAUGCCGCGUGUAUGAAGAAUUCCUUCGGGUUGUAAAGUACUUUCAGCAGGGAGGCGUUACCCGCAGAAGAAGCACCGGCUAACUCCGUGCCAGGAGCCGCGGUAAUUC